GGGGGUUUAGCUCAGUGGCAUAAGCGCCUGCCUUGAAAGCAGGCAGACAUGAGUUUGAUCCCCUG
rfam:Cavia porcellus supercont2_214 genomic scaffold, whole genome shotgun sequence.